UUGUUUAGUUUACUCCUGUAUCAUGUUUUUGAGUUUCCACUUUCAACUAUUCUCCUUGUCCUGUUAACUGAUGUGUUCGGAUAACUGGUGGACAUGGAGAGUGAAACAACUCAUACAGUGUGUGCUUGCGUGGCAUGAGCUUCUUUCUUUCGUUAACGAGACUGGAGUCUAAUGAAGAGCACUACAUUUUCUAAGUCAAAUUUCUUGACUGUUUAGUUAAGCUUUCUCCUUCGAUUUUAUCUGUUUUUAUUUAUGGUUGGGUGAUUAAUCCUGAUGAUGGAGCUAACCCAAAAUUCUUGACUGUAUUAAGGUUUCUCCUUCGAUGAGUUCAAAUCUCCUUGGUUUAGCAUUGGCGUUUCAUUUCUUUUUGCCGUGUGUAUGAUCUGAUAUAAUUUUCUCUAGUUUUUGUUGUUGCUUUAUAUAGAUUCUUUAGUUUUGUUGGUGAUUUGGGAAUGGGAUUGUAUCUAUCUGGAUUUUGUGUAUGUUGUAUGAUGAUAUCUCUAGAAAAGAGCACCAAAUUGGGGGAGAGGAAAAUAUCAUCAUGAUCUUAUUUUUAGUAUGAACAAAUUCAACAGCAGCAGUGUAAAUCUGGAUUUCAAGUUAUGUUUAAUAUCAUGUUUGUAUUUACUGUGAUAUUCCUCCUAUCUUAGUCUGAAUGUUUUGAUAGUCUCGUAUAUAUUUCCUUUACAUCAUCUACCAAUAUCAGUUCCCCUCUCUCUUCCGCCUCUCGAAUACCUGAUUUCUUCUUCGUUUUCGUUUGAUUUUUAUUCUGUUUGUUCGAUGUUUUCUUGAUUUUCCGUAUGACACUCUUAAACGCAGCAGCUUGAUUUCGUUUCUUCCUAUUAAACCAAGAAACUUCUAUUGAGAUGUGGACCGGUUUUGAUCUGUUUGAUUAAGAAUUUACAAAGAAUUCUUCCGAUUUCAGAUCACUGCAAGUUCGUUCUCCUUAGAUUAGUAUUGGCGGUGUUGGUUGUUUCGGUUCAUUCUGCUGUGUGGAUGAUUAGGAAAGGAAAUCUGAGGGUAUUUCUCUCUAUUUAUUGUUGAUUUUUUUUUUUUUUUUGAAUUGUACUUGUUCUGUGGAAUCUUAAUUUGGUCAUGUGUAGGGGUUUCAUUGUUGAUUAUUAAUGCUUGUAUAUAUUAGUAUGAUGAUAUAGCUGGAAAAGAAUACCAAAUUAGGUGAGAGGAAAUACCAUCAUGUUUUGUGAGUAUGAACAAAAUCAGCAGCAGCAUAGAUCAGGGUUGGAGUUAUUGUAAAUUGAUGUUUGUAUUCACCGUGCGUGAUGAUAGUCCUCCCAUCUUAAUGUGUAUUUUUCUAGUGUAUCUGAUUUUUAGUGAUCUGUUUAGGGACUUGUAUGAUAUCGGCGGGGGAGAUUUUGGCAAAAAUUCUCUCAUUCAUAAAUCGGAGCAAACCAAUUAUGGUUGUAAAAUCCAUUUGUAAACGCCGUAGAAAAAACUUGAGAUGUUGAUGGUCGAAAGAUCUCCAUCUCAGGUGGUCUCAUAUUCCAUUGCCUUGGGGAGCUGCGUUGUGGCCAUUACCUCUUGGGACUGGCCAUGAGACAUACAUUUGUUCAAUAAUUUAGGAGGAUAUCGAAUUAUAAAGAACACCAUCUUUCCGGACUGAAUGGCUUAACGCCUUGGGGACAUAUUCUGCAAUUCUGAGGCUUGUAGGUUUGAAUUUUAUUGGCAACAAUUCUGAGGCUUGUGCAUAUAGAUUUUAAUUUUAUUGUUCACAUUCUUAAUCUUCUUAGCAACCAAUAACAAACUGCUUGGUAUUCAACUAUCCUGUUGGCUUGAUUCCAUGUAGCAUAGUCUUGGCUACCAAUAACGAACUGCUUGGUAUUCAACUAUCCUGUUGGCUUGAAUCCAUGUAGCAUAGCACACAAGUAUGGUGCUUCUAGAAGAUAUUUAUUGUGUUUAUUUGCUUUUGAUUUAGUUAUGGCAGUGAACCUGGGGGUUGAGUCACAUUAGCAUCUAUUUGAUCAUAAAAUUGGCUACGAUUACAAAAUACCCGCGCUUCUGAGAGUAAUCUAUGAAGCUAAAAAGAAGCUUCGUCUUUCGUAAUUAACAAGACUGGAGUUUAAUAACAGCACCACUUUUUCGUAGUCAAAUGGUUUCUCCUCGACUUUCAUCAAGCGAACCCAAAAGAUAGGAAGUGCUAUAUGACACUCUUAAACGCAGCAGUUUGAUUUCUUUUCUUCCGAUUAAACCAAGAAACUUCUAUUGAGAUUCGAACGGAUCUUGAUCUGUUUGAUUAAGAAUUUCCAAAGAAUUCUUCCGAUUUCAGAUCACUUCAAGUCCGAUCUCUGUGGUGGUGGUUUCGAUUCUUCCUGCUGUGUGUAUGAUUUGGAAAGGAAAUCUGAGGGUAUUUAUCUUCUAAUUUUCCUUUGCUGUGAUUUGUAAAUAGAAAUUCUGUGCUUUGAUCCUGUUAAGGGUUUGGGUUUUCGUUGUUUUAUGAUGAUAUCUCCGGAAAAGAAUACCAAAUUAGGUGAGAGGAAAUACCAUAAUGUUUUGUGAGUAUGAACAAAAUCAGCAGCAGCAUAGAUCAGGGUUGGAGUUAUUAUAAAAUGAUGUUUGUAUUCACCGUGCAUGAUGAUAGUCCUCCCAUCUUAAUAUCAGUUAAUAUCAGAAUUGAAUUUAUUGUAAAUUGAUGUUUGUAUUCACAUUGCGUGAUGGUAUUCCUCCCAUCUUAAUUUGGAUGUUUCUAGUUUCUGGUCUA